UGGCCUAGUUAGUCUAAUCAAGCAAAGCGAACUUUAGUUUUACCCCCCGAAACUAGGUGAGCUACUUCGAAAUAGCCGUCAGAGCUAACCCGUCUCUGUUGCAAAAGAGUGGGAAAAUUUCCAAGUAGAGGUGAUAAACCUAUCGCACCAAGAGAUAGCUGGUUACUCAAGAAAAGAAUAUUAGUUCUACCUCAAGUUUUCUCAGUUUUAAUAAACCUUAACUAAACUUAAGAGCUAUUCAAAUAGGGCACAGCUUAUUUGAAAAAGGAUACAACCUACCAUAUUGGGUAAUUAACCAAGAAAAACUGUUAAGUGGGCCUAAAAGCAGCCACCUUUCAAAAAGCGUUAAAGCUUUACCCUCAUUCUUUAAAAUAACCUUAUUAUUAUUUAACCCAUCAUCAAUAUUGAGUAAUUCCAUAAAAAUAUGGAAGAUAUAAUGCUAGAACUAGUAACAAGAAGUAGAACUUCUCCAAAAUGUAAGCCUAAGCCACCUUAGACACCCUACUGGCAAUUAACGUUUAUGAGUACACUUUAUUAACACCACAAGAAAACUUUAAAUACCACAACGUUAAACUUACACUAGAACAUUUAUGGAAAGAUCAAAAGAAAAAGAAGGAACUCGGCAAAUAUUAACCUCGCCUGUUUACCAAAAACAUCGCCUCUUGCCUAAAUAUAAGAGGUCCAGCCUGCCCAGUGACAGAAUUUAACGGCCGCGGUACCCUAACCGUGCGAAGGAAGCAUAAUCACUUGUUCUUAAAAUGAGCACUUGUAUCACCGGCAUCACGAGGGUUAAACUGUCUCCUUUUUCCGAUCAGUGAAACUAAUCUCCCCGUGAAGAAGCGGGGAUGAUCUUAUAAGACUGAGAAGACCCCAUGGAGCUUUAAACCCAACUACACUCCUCCCUAACUUUACCUCUAAACUCCUAGGAUUGUGUGUGUUCUGGUUUUAGGUUGGGGUGACCGCGGAGCAUAAAUUAGCCUCCACAAUGAAUAGAUUUUUCUCUUUACCCAAGACUAACACUUCUAAGAAUUAGUACUCUAACAUAAAAUGAUCCGAUAUUCGAUCAACGAACCAAGUUACCCUGGGGAUAACAGCGCAAUCCACUUUAAGAGCCCCCAUCCACAAGUGGGUUUACGACCUCGAUGUUGGAUCAGGGUAUCCUAGUGGUGCAGCACCUACUAAAGGUUCGUUUGUUCAACGA
rnacentral:rRNA from 1 species